ensembl:snRNA U6 U6 spliceosomal RNA
GUGCUCGCCUUCGCAGCACAUAUACUAAAAUGGGAACAAUACGGAGAAGAUUAGCAUGACCCCU